UACGAAGGGGGCUAGCGUUGCUCGGAUUUACUGGGCGUAAAGGGAGCGUAGGCGGAACGACAAGUCAGGGGUGAAAGCCCGGGGCUCAACCUCGGAAUUGCCCUUGAGACUGUCGAUCUAGAGUUUGGGAGAGGUGUGUGGAACUCCGAGUGUAGAGGUGAAAUUCGUAGAUAUUCGGAAGAACACCAGUGGCGAAGGCGACACACUGGCCCAAUACUGACGCUGAGGCUCGAAAGCGUGGGGAGCAAACAGG
rnacentral:rRNA from 2 species